rfam:Myotis lucifugus cont2.43976, whole genome shotgun sequence.
GCUCGUUUGGCUCAGUGGAUAGAGCGUCAGCCUGCAGACUGAAGUGUCCCGGGUUUGAUUCCGGUGAAGAGCA